GUGGGGAAUAUUGGACAAUGGGGGGAACCCUGAUCCAGCCAUGCCGCGUGUGUGAAGAAGGCCUUUUGGUUGUAAAGCACUUUAAGCGAGGAGGAGGCUACCGAGAUUAAUACUCUUGGAUAGUGGACGUUACUCGCAGAAUAAGCACCGGCUAACUCUGUGCCAGCAGCCGCGGUAAUACAGAGGGUGCAAGCGUUAAUCGGAUUUACUGGGCGUAAAGCGCGCGUAGGUGGCCAAUUAAGUCAAAUGUGAAAUCCCCGAGGUUAACUUGGGAAUUGCAUUCGAUACUGGUUGGCUAGAGUAUGGGAGAGGAUGGUAGAAUUCCAGGUGUAGCGGUGAAAUGCGUAGAGAUCUGGAGGAAUACCGAUGGCGAAGGCAGCCAUCUGGCCUAAUACUGACACUGAGGUGCGAAAGCAUGGGGAGCAAACAGGAUUAGAAACCCCUGUAGUCC
rnacentral:rRNA from 1 species